rnacentral:rRNA from 1 species
UACGUAGGUGGCGAGCGUUGUCCGGAUUUACUGGGCGUAAGAGCGCGCAGGUGGUUGAUUAAGUCUGAUGUGAAAGCCCACGGCUUAACCGUGGAGGGUCAUUGGAAACUGGUCGACUUGAGUGCAGAAGAGGGAAGUGGAAUUCCAUGUGUAGCGGUGAAAUGCGUAGAGAUAUGGAGGAACACCAGUGGCGAAGGCGGCUUCCUGGUCUGUAACUGACACUGAGGCGCGAAAGCGUGGGGAGCAAACAGGAUUAGAUA